GAUGAACGCUGGCGGCGUGCCUAACACAUGCAAGUCGAACGGAGUCGUUUUGGAAAUCUCUUCGGAGAUGGAAUUCUCGACUUAGUGGCGGACGGGUGAGUAACGCGUGAGCAAUCUGCCUUUAAGAGGGGGAUAACAGUCGGAAACGGCUGCUAAUACCGCAUAAAGCAUUAAAUUCGCAUGUUUUUGAUGCCAAAGGAGCAAUCCGCUUUUAGAUGAGCUCGCGUCUGAUUAGCUAGUUGGCGGGGUAACGGCCCACCAAGGCGACGAUCAGUAGCCGGACUGAGAGGUUGAAGGGCCAAAGGGGGACAGAGACACGGCCCAGACACCUACGGGAGGCAGGAGGGGGGAAUAUUGCGAAAUGGGGGAAACCCUGACGCAGCAACGCCGCGUGAGUGAAGAAGGCCUUCGGGUUGUAAAGAUCUUUAAUCAGGGACGAAACAAAUGACGGUACCUGAAGAAUAAGCACCGGCUAACUACGUG
rnacentral:rRNA from 1 species